rnacentral:rRNA from 1 species
GGCGGCAGGUNUCAUACAUGCAAGUCGAACGAGAAAGGUCCUUCGGGACCGAGUAAAGUGGCGGACGGGUGAGUAACGCGUAGGAAUCUACCUGGUAGUGGGGGACAACCCGAGGAAACUCGGGCUAAUACCGCAUACGACCCAAGGGUGAAAGCGGGGGAUUUUCGAACCUCGCGCUAUCAGAGGAGCCUGCGUUGGAUUAGCUUGUUGGUGGGGUAACGGCCUACCAAGGCGACGAUCCAUAGCUGGUCUGAGAGGACGAUCAGCCACACUGGAACUGAGACACGGUCCAGACUCCUACGGGAGGCAGCAGUAAAGAAUAUUGCGCAAUGGGCGAAAGCCUGACGCAGCCAUGCCGCGUGUGUGAAGAAGGCCUUAGGGUUGUAAAGCACUUUCAGUGGCGAAGAAGGGUAGGGGAUUAAUACCCCCAUACUUUGACGUUAACCACAGAAGAAGGUCCGGCUAACUCCGUGCCAGCAGCCGCGGUAAUACGGAGGGACCGAACGUUAAUCGGAAUUACUGGGCGUAAAGCGCGCGUAGGCGGUUUGUUAAGUGGGAUGUGAAAGCCCUGGGCUCAACCUAGGAAUUGCAUCUCAAACUGACGGGCUAGAGUGUAGUAGAGGGAGGUGGAAUUUCCUGUGUAGCGGUGAAAUGCGUAGAUAUAGGAAGGAACACCAGUGGCGAAGGCGGCCUCCUGGACUAACACUGACGCUGAGGCGCGAAAGCGUGGGGAGCAAACAGGAUUAGAUACCCUGGUASUCCACGCCGUAAACGAUGAGAACUAGCCGUUGGGCCG